UUAUAAGAGACAGCAGCAGCCGCGGGAAUACGGAGGGUGCAAGCGUUAAUCGGAAUUACUGGGCGUAAAGCGCACGCAGGCGGUCUGACAAGUCAGAUGUGAAAUCCCCGGGCUUAACCUGGGAACUGCAUUUGAAACUGUCAGGCUGGAGUCUUGUAGAGGGGGGUGGAAUUCCAGGUGUAGCGGUGAAAUGCGUAGAGAUCUGGAGGAAUACCGGUGGCGAAGGCGGCCCCCUGGACAAAGACUGACGCUCAGGUGCGAAAGCGUGGGGAGCAAACAGGAUUAGAUACCCCUGUAGUCCCUGUCUCUUAUAC
rnacentral:rRNA from 1 species